UACAGGGGGGGCAAGCGUUGUUCGGAAUUACUGGGCGUAAAGGGCCAGUAGGCGGCCAACUAAGUCCGACGUGAAAUCCCUAGGCUUAACCUAGGAACUGCGUCGGAUACUGGAUGGCUUGAAUUCGGGAGAGGGAUGCAGAAUUCCAGGUGUAGCGGUGAAAUGCGCAGAUAUCAGGAGGAACACCGAUGGCGAAGGCAGGUCUCUGGGCCAUAACUGACGCUGAGAAGCGAAAGCAUGGGGAGCGAACAGG
rnacentral:rRNA from 1 species